UACGUAGGUGGCAAGCGUUGUCCGGAAUUAUUGGGCGUAAAGGGCGCGUCGGCGGCUGUACAAGUCAAAGGUGAAAUCCCUCGGCUCAACUGAGGAACUGCCUUUGAAACUGUACGGCUUGAGGCCGGGAGGGGGUAGCGGAAUUCCCAGUGUAGCGGUGAAAUGCGUAGAUACUGGGAGGAACACCAGUGGCGAAGGCGGCUACCUGGACCGGUUCUGACGCUGAGGCGCGAAAGCGUGGGUAGCAAACAGG
rnacentral:rRNA from 1 species